AAGCCCACCCCGGCCCUCCGGCUGCGGCAUGGGGACUCUCACCUUCUGGUCUCCUCUGCUGCUAGGGACGACGCCCAGCGUGUGCGCCGCGGCUGCCCGGCCCCCCUGUCCACCCGGUUAGGAGUCAUGGCAGAGCUCUCGGAGCCGCUCAGCUGGGCUCCAGAGGUCAGGGAGGAAGUGGGCUUCAGCUCGGGGAUGUCAAGGUCCCGCAGUGAGGGAUGGAAUUACCACCGGAGUUAGGCCCACCGUGAGUGUCCGGCCAAGGGCGGUGAAAGGUAAUGGCAUCUCUCAGUUCACCACGGAACCCAGCAUGAUAGGGUGGUCAUCGGUGUAACCACUUAGGGGGCCAAAGCUUGUAAGCAUUCUAAUGCACAGAACAUCCUAGAAGCUAGAAGCUAUUCAGACCCACUUACAAAGGGACUUUUAUUCUCACAGGGUUAUGGGGCCCAGGGCAAGCCUUUAUAUUCUGUUUAAGAAUCCUUCACAUACCUUGAAUAUGUCACCACAGCAUUACCAAUUUAGGAGGGAAAUACGGGUAUCGAAGAGAUGUCCGUCUUCUUUACUCACAACACCCAUCAAAUCUACAAGUUUUCAAAGAGAAUCUGAGCAAAACAAAUCAUGUGCAGAUAUUAGCUCACCUUUGGCUUAUCCCAAAGGGCAGAAUACACUUUGAAGUAGGUGCAGAUAUGAAAUGUAUUAUACUGCAUAUAUGCACUAUUAUUUGGCACGUUGGUAAAGUGGUAAAAAAAAAAAAAAAAAAAAAAAAAAAAAAAAAAAAAAACGUUUUAGGCCGG
rnacentral:lncRNA from 1 species